rnacentral:rRNA from 1 species
AUUGAACGCUGGCGGCAGGCCUAACACAUGCAAGUCGAACGGUAACAGGAAGAAGCUUGCUUCUUUGCUGACGAGUGGCGGACGGGUGUGUAAUGUCUGGGAAACUGCCUGAUGGAGGGGGAUAACUACUGGAAACGGUAGCUAAUACCGCAUAACGUCGCAAGACCAAAGAGGGGGACCUUCGGGCCUCUUGCCAUCGGAUGUGCCCAGAUGGGAUUAGCUAGUAGGUGGGGUAACGGCUCACCUAGGCGACGAUCCCUAGCUGGUCUGAGAGGAUGACCAGCCACACUGGAACUGAGACACGGUCCAGACUCCUACGGGAGGCAGCAGUGGGGAAUAUUGCACAAUGGGCGCAAGCCUGAUGCAGCCAUGCCGCGUGUAUGAAGAAGGCCUUCGGGUUGUAAAGUACUUUCAGCGGGGAGGAAGGGAGUAAAGUUAAUACCUUUACUCAUUGACGUUACCCGCAGAAGAAGCACCGGCUAACUCCGUG